rnacentral:tRNA from 1 species
GCGGAAGUGGCGGAACUGGCAGACGCGCUGGAUUCAGGUUCCAGUGCCCGAAAGGGCGUGAAGGUUCGAGUCCUUUCUUCCGCA